rnacentral:rRNA from 1 species
CAGUCGCCGCGGUAAUACGAAGGGGGCUAGCGUUGCUCGGAAUGACUGGGCGUAAAGGGCGCGUAGGCGGAUUGUUUAGUUAGGCGUGAAAUUCCUGGGCUUAACCUGGGGACUGCGCUUAAUACAGGCAGUCUAGAGUGAGGAAGAGGGUUGUGGAAUUCCCAGUGUAGAGGUGAAAUUCGUAGAUAUUGGGAAGAACACCGGUGGCGAAGGCGGCAACCUGGUCCUUGACUGACGCUGAGGCGCGAAAGCGUGGGGAGCAAACAGGAUUAGAUACCCCCGUAGUCCCUGUCUCUUAUAC